rnacentral:lncRNA from 1 species
UGUUGCCUCGGUUACACUAAACUGUAAAGAUGAAAUUAGUGUCUUAACAAUCAAAAGGGUAAAAACUGCAGUGUUUAACACUCAAUUCAGUAGUUUUGUGGUAAGUAACACCAUCUAGUACUGUCCUCGUCAUAUCAAGGGUUCAACUGUCCCCGGGUUUAGAUAUGUUCCUGGUCGCUAGGAGACGGUAACAGAGGUCUCUUAUCAAUGGGACUAAAAACAACAUUCUAACUGGUCAGGGGGAACAGCUGACAGAUAUACUGCACAUAAUAAUAAUAAUAAUAAUAACAAACAAAAAACACCACACCAUUUUGUUUAGGGGGAAGGAGGGCAACUAACAUUACUAUUGGGGCAUGCUGGGAGGUUCUGGGGGGUAGUUCUAACAUUACAUUUGGGGCUGUAGGGAGGUUGUGGGGGGUAGUUCUAAAUUACUAUUGGGGCAUGUAGGGAGGUUUCUGGGGGGGGUGUUCUAACAGUACAUUGGGGCUGUAGAGGUCUGGGGGGUGGUUUAAUAUACUAUUGGGGCAUGUAGGGAGGUUUGGGGGGGUGGUUCUAACAUUACUAUUGGGGCAUGUAGGGAGGUUCUGGGGGGUAGUUCUAAUAUUACUAUUGGGGCAUGUAGGGAGGUUCUGGGGGGGGUAUUCUAAAUUACUGAUUGGGGCUGUAGGGAGGGGUGGUUCUUGGGGGGGUAGUUCUAAUAUUACUAUGGGGGCAUGAGGGAGGUUCUGGGGGGGUGGUUUCUAAUAUUACUAUUGGGGCAUGUAGGGAGGUUCUGGGGGGUAGUUCUAAUAUUACUAUGGGGCAUGUAGGGAGGUUCGGGGGGGGUAGUUCUAAUAUUACAUUGGGGGGUCAGUAGGGAGGUUCUGGGGGGGUAAGUUCUAAGAUGACUAUGGGGGGGCAUUUGGGUGGUAGUUCUAAUAUGACUAUGGGGCAUGUAGGGUGGUAGUUCUAAUAUGCUAUGGGGCAAUGAGGGUGUAGUCUAAUUGACUAGGGGCAUGUAGGGUGUAGUUCGAAUAUGACUAUGGGGCAAUGUAGGUGGUAGUUCUAAUAUGAUAAUGGGGCAUGUAGGGUGGUAGGUCUAAUAUGACUAUGGGGCAUGUAGGGUGGUAGUUCGAAUAUGACUAUGGGGCAUGUAGGGUGGGAGUUCUAAUAGCGAUGGGGGCAUGUAGGGUGGUAGUGCUAAU